GGGCCCGCACAAGCGGUGGAGUAUGUGGUUUAAUUCGAUGCAACGCGAAGAACCUUACCAGGGUUUGACAUCCUGCGAAUCUCUUGGAAACAGGAGAGUGCCUUCGGGAACGCAGUGACAGGUGGUGCAUGGCUGUCGUCAGCUCGUGUCGUGAGAUGUUGGGUUAAGUCCCGCAACGAGCGCAACCCACGUCUUUAGUUGCCAGCAUUUAGUUGGGUACUCUAGCGAGACUGCCGGUGCAAACCGAGAGGAAGGUGUGGAUGACGUCAAGUCAUCAUGCCCCUUACGUCCUGGGCUACACACGUACUACAAUGCUACGGACAAAGGGCAGCAAGUUCGCGAGGACAAG
rnacentral:rRNA from 1 species